GUUUCUUCAUCAGAACAGAGUCAUUCAUACUAGCAUCUUCCUCUCCACAGGGAGGCAGGAGACCCACGGGAGGGCGGAGCAUGACUUUUGUCCAGGAGGCUGGACUACCGACUUCAGCAGCGAGGGAGGUUGUCCUCUGGACUCCUGGGAAUUGACCACCAGCAUGCGCUGCUCCGCUGACAAGGGAAAGGGCCCUCUGGCCCGCACAGCAUGGAUAUGGGCAGAACGGUUUUUCCUAACUAGGCCUUCUGGGUUGCAGCAGAACAGCAUGUGUCUGCUUCUCAAAUGUAACAGAUUGUCUCUGGAAACUGCGAAAUCUGACCAGAAGGCCCUUAGCCUCCCAGGCUCUGUAGCUUCUGCAGUGAUGAGGCCUGACCACCAGAUGGCUCCACAGAGGCCACUGCUCUCUCAGGGAAGAGGAGCUGAUGUAGGGAGGUGGCCUGCCCAAAACUGA
rnacentral:lncRNA from 1 species